GGUGGCCUAUUUCAAAUAAUUCCAAUAACUAACGCAUUUCAUCGACUGAACAAUAGCAUCAUUAGAUAUUUCUCUACAUAUCAAGGCGAAACACAAAUAAGGUACAAAGGCGUAAGCCCACUGUCUGACAUUGAUUCCAAUUGGAAUAACCUUUGGGCUGAAAAUUAAUCAUUUUGGGCAUCAGACAGAUUGUAAAGACUCACUUGUUACGCAGGGAGAAAGGCUAUGGAGCAAGUGUAUUAUCAAGUAUGAUAGUAUAGUGGCCAAGCAUUCAUACUAGUUCAAAUAAAUUAUUUUGUUCAAAAAGAAAACUUUUAUCCUUAAUCUCUAAACUUGUGAUUUCUUUAUAGCCCACUGGGUCCGCACAGCAUGGAUACAGCUCUCGUGGUGCAUCGUCGGAUGCAAUGCACUACAGUUUAAGUAAUGGAUGUAGGUCAAGGGACUGGAGGGGAGUGGCACCCUUCGCGACAAGCAGUUUCCAUUCCAAUAAAAAUGGUUGUGGGAAGAUUGGAGCAGAAGAGAUUUCGCUUUUUGAUAUGUUUUUCUCUUUCGCAUUCAGUUUUGUUCUUUUGCUAGUUGUGCAAAUACGAAAACCGCUGAUAGCGUGUGCGCAAAAGUAGCACGACCGCAAUGCGGAUAGACAUCCGCGAUGCAGCGUGAGUAACAUUUCCUGCACAUGCAGACUGCUGUACGAAAACCGACAAACCAAACUGCUUAAUAAAGACAAGAUUGUGCGCACUUUGAUCCCGAAAGAGAGUCCCGCUUGAUCCAGCGUCUUAUCAAGCUGUAAAUUAUUUUGUUUGUACCAAAUGAAUGGACGAGCGAUAAUCUUUCAUUCCACAGCAGACAGAGUCACUAAAGAACAUUCACCCUAUAGCAUUGAGACAAAGGAUUGCGUCACUCAAGGCAGUUGACUUGAUACGUAUACAUUAUUAUUCUGGACAAACAAGUAUUAUUCUUAGUGGACUUACUAAAUUAUUCUCGAAUAACCAAAGCCUUUUAUUUCUUCGUGAAGAAACUUGUGCGGUCAGUGCACCACCACUACUAUUACUAAUACUGUACUGUUAGUCAGACACGAUCAGGUUAUUGUAUUUGUUAGGCUAGGGUAGAUCAAGUGGCCGGAUGAAGCAACACUCAAAAUAAACAACGUCACACGUAUAGAAUCGUAUUGUACACAAGGUCACGUGAAUCUUUUCCUAAACUAGAAUUUUUUAUGUAAUAUAGGACGAGAAAAUUGUAAUGCUGUUGAUUGAAAAAUGAUUACUGUACAGAGCAAAAUUACUCGAUUUUGGACGUGACCCGUUUUAAUUUAUUUACUUUAUUUCGCACGAUCUUGAGACUGACUAAUAACUCACGUGCUAUCAUCGAUCAGACCAAAGUCGAUACCCUUAAUAUGUAACAUAUGAAGGGUGUACUAUUAGCAUGGGCGGUGAAUUUUCACUGGCAAUGGAUGUUUUAUCAAAAUAGGAAGAGGCGAAAUCGCGUUGAAUCUCAUCUAUAUACAUGCGCAUGCGCUUCCACAAUGGUUUAGGCUUGGAUAGAUGUUUGAGACAACAAAGGACUUUUUAUGGAAGAAAUUGUCAAAUUCUUAGUUUGAUAAAUAUAAAUAAUACAUUGUAACUUACCAAAUGUCUUUUGCCGCCGAAUAGAGUACCAAGAAAUUAGUUUUAAAGUGAUGGUUGAAGCAAUGCCGAAUUCCGUGUGCCUGUAGUCAGUCGGGAAAGAGCUUUGUUGUUGACGACUUUGU